rnacentral:rRNA from 1 species
GUGCAGCAGUCGCGAAAACUUUACAAUGUGCGAAAGCACGAUAAGGGAACUCUGAGUGCCUCCUAAGGAGGCUGUUCAGGUGUCCAAAAAGCACCUGAAGGAAGGGCUGGGUAAGACCGGUGCCAGCCGCCGCGGUAACACCGGCAGCCCAAGUGGUAGCCACGUUUAUUGGGUCUAAAGCGUCCGUAGCCGGCUGGGUAAGUUCCUUGGGAAAUUUGGCUGCUUAACAGUCAAGCUUUCAGGGAAUACUGCCCGGCUUGGGACCGGGAGAGGUCAGAGGUACUCCAGGGGUAGGGGUGAAAUCCAUUAAUCCUUGGGGGACCACCGGUAGCGAAGGCGUCUGACCAGACCGGGUCCGACGGUGAGGGACGAAGGCUAGAGGCGCGAACCGGAUUAGAUACCCGCGUAGU